rnacentral:rRNA from 1 species
UGCAGUCGAACGCAGUAGCAAUACUGAGUGGCGAACGGGUGAGUAUAAUGUGGGCAAUCUGCCUUUUGGUUUGGAAUAACACGGGGAAACUUGUGCUAAUACCGAAUAAGCCCUUACGGGGAAAGUUUUAACGCCGAAAGAUGAGCCUGCACUUGAUUAGCUAGUUGGUAAGGUAAAGGCUUACCAAGGCAACGAUCAAUAGCUGUUCUUAGAGGAAGACCAGCCACAUUGGGACUGAGACACGGCCCAGACUCCUACGGGAGGCAGCAGUGGGGAAUCUUGCACAAUGGGGGAAACCCUGAUGCAGCGAUGCCGCGUGAGUGAAGAAGGCCUUUGGGUUGUAAAACUCUUUCGUCGGGGAAGAAAAUGACUGUACCCGAAUAAGAAGGUCCGGCUAACUUCGUGCCAGCAGCCGCGGUAAUACGAAGGGACCUAGCGUAGUUCGGAAUUACUGGGCUUAAAGAGCUCGUAGGUGGUUAAAAAAGUUGAUGGUGAAAUCCCAAGGCCCAACCUUGGAACUGCCAUCAAAACUUUUUAGCUAGAGUGUGAUAGAGGUAAGUGGAAUUUCUAGUGUAGAGGUGAAAUUCGUAGAUAUUAGAAAGAACACCAAAUGCGAAGGCAACUUACUGGGUCACUACUGACACUGAGGAGCGAAAGCAUGGGUAGCGAAGAGGAUUAGAUACCCUCGUAGUCCAUGCCGUAAACGAUGUGUGCUAGACGUUGGGAAUAUAUUUUUCAGUGUCGCAGCGAAAGCAUUAAGCACACCGCCUGGGGAGUACGACCGCAAGGUUAAAACUCAAAUGAAUUGACGGGGACCCGCACAAGCAGUGGAGCAUGUGGUUUAAUCGAAAAUACGCGCAGAACCUUACCAACACUUGACAUGUUCGUCGCGAG